UAAUACGUAGGUGGCAAGCGUUGUCCGGAAUCAUUGGGCGUAAAGCGCGCGCAGGCGGUCCCUUAAGUCUGAUGUGAAAGCCCACGGCUCAACCGUGGAGGGUCAUUGGAAACUGGGGGACUUGAGUGCAGAAGAGGAAAGCGGAAUUCCAAGUGUAGCGGUGAAAUGCGUAGAGAUUUGGAGGAACACCAGUGGCGAAGGCGGCUUUCUGGUCUGUAACUGACGCUGAGGCGCGAAAGCGUGGGGAGCAAACAGG
rnacentral:rRNA from 1 species